AACCUCCGCAAUGUGAGAAAUCGCGACGGGGGGAUCCCAAGUGCCAUUCUUAACGGGAUGGCUUUUCAUUAGUGUAAAGAGCUUUUGGAAUAAGGGCUGGGCAAGACCGGUGCCAGCCGCCGCGGUAACACCGGCAGCUCUAGUGGUAGCAGUUUUUAUUGGGCCUAAAGCGUCCGUAGCCGGUUUAAUAAGUCUCUGGUGAAAUCCUGUAGCUUAACUGUGGGAAUUGCUGGAGAUACUAUUAGACUUGAGACCGGGAGAGGUUAGAGGUACUCCCAGGGUAGAGGUGAAAUUCUGUAAUCCUGGGAGGACCGCCUGUUGCGAAGGCGUCUAACUGGAACGGUUCUGACGGUGAGGGACGAAAGUUAGGGCGCGAACCGGAUUAGAUACCCGGGUAGUCCUAACUGUAAACGAUGCGGACUUGGUGUUGGGGUGGCUUUGAGCUGCUCCAGUGCCGAAGGGAGCUGUUAAGUCCGCCGCCUGGGAAGUACGGUCGCAAGACUGAAACUUAAAGGAAUU
rnacentral:rRNA from 1 species